UACGUAGGCAGCGAGCGUUGUUCGGAGUUACUGGGCGUAAAGCGUGCGCAGGCGGUGAUGUAAGACAGGUGUGAAAUCCCCGGGCUUAACCUGGGAACUGCAUUUGUGACUGCAUCGCUGGAGUGCGGCAGAGGGGGAUGGAAUUCCGCGUGUAGCAGUGAAAUGCGUAGAUAUGCGGAGGAACACCGAUGGCGAAGGCAAUCCCCUGGGCCUGCACUGACGCUCAUGCACGAAAGCGUGGGGAGCAAACAGG
rnacentral:rRNA from 1 species